rnacentral:misc_RNA from 1 species
GAUGAAGAACGUAGUGAAAUGCGAUAAGUAAUGUGAAUUGCAGAUUUCAGUGAAUCAUCGAAUCUUUGAACGCACAUUGCGCCCGCUAGUAUUCUGGCGGGCAUGCCUGUUCGAGCGUCAUUUCAACCAUCAAGCCCCCGGCUUGCGUUGGAGCCCUGCGGCUGCCGCAGGCUCCCAAAUCUAGUGGCGGGCUCGUCGUCGUACCGAGUGCAGUAAACAUCCUCGCUCAGGGAACGCGUCGGGUUCUUGCCGUGAAACCCCCCCAUAUCAAGGUUGACCUCGGAUCAGGUAGGAAUACCCGCUGAACUUAAGCAUAUCAAUAAGCGGAGGA